UCGACGCGCCUGCGUACAGGUCCCCCCGGGGCGGGCUGUAACCGCCGCGCCGCUGACCCCACUUUGCCGUUUACUCUGCUCGUUCCGGUUAUUUUUCUAAAUUUACCAACUCUCCCGCUAAGGCAGGAAAAUGCCACCGCCUCCCCCGCCGCUCGAGCGGCGGCUCAGACUCCCGGCUUCGCCGCUACCCGCAGAAAGGAGCAAGGCGAGAAGGGAAGAGAAAGGGCGGGAGGCGGCCGGCCACCUCUGAACGGCCCGGGAUUGUGUAGCUCCUCGCAGCCCUUUUCCAGAGGGUUUUCGCUUUCCCUGAGGAGCACCCGCGCCAAGGGUUGGCAGAAGGGGGGCUGCGCAGGAUGGGCCACGCCACUGCCGCACGUUGGCACAAGGGCUCCAAGGCAGCACAGCACCCAUCUGCGCUGGGUGCGCGCUUCAACCCACCUCGACAAAAGAACGCACUAGCGCAUUUCGGGAAACGCCAGAGGCAGCGCGAGGACAGGGCACCACUGCCAAAAGCUCUACCAGGUAAGCCUGGGGUUUCAAGCCUGAGUGUGCUUCAAAAAAAUAAAAAUAAAAAUCGCUGAACCUAGCCAACUUCUACAUAAAGUAGCUAUUAUGAUAUUGAAACCCAUGGUUAAUUAACAUCAUGCUAAGAGCAGAGCUGUGGAUUUCAUUCCUCACUCAAAACAUCCUCUAAGAAAUUACUGCAGGUAGAAACUGAAGAUCAAAAUUAAUAAUAAAUGGUCAACGGGACUUAGGCACCUAAUCAUCACUUAUGCUUUGAAAGUCUCCCUCACUCCCAGUCUAAUACUCCAUUUGCUCACUCCAUUAGCUGCUCUUAAAAUAUUUUGAGAAAGCAUGUUACAAAACUAUUAUAAACCUGUACAAAAAAAAUUCAACAGCCCCACGAUAAAGUUACUGUGGCACAAAAAGCAUCAAAAAGUCUGAUGACUACAAAAGCUACAUCUGAAAGACAGGCAGUGAUGCAGUGAAUAUACACAUAUGUCAAUUAACCUUAAAUUAGCUAGACUGCUUACCCAGCAGCAAUCUAGCUACAGUAUCAAAUUGCUGAGAACUCCAUUUUACACUUAAUUCUUCUUAUUUUCUUGCUGUAAAAACACAGAAUUCAUUGCAUGCUACUUAUAGUGAGGGAGCGAAACUUUUUUCAACAUGCACAUUAUACACGCAUGCAAAUACAAAAAUUCUACAUGAAGAGAGCAUGCCUUCUUUCAUACCUGAUCAUCCGCUGUCAAACCUGAAAUUCCACCUCAUUUGCUGAACACUGACAUACAUCCAAAAGAACUCUUAAGUAGCUACUCAGAUGAAACUGCUCACAUGUGCCCACACGCACCGAGCUGACACAACACCCUAUUCAUUCAGAGAGGUAACUGUAACAGAAUGCCUCCAUACACCUGGAAUUAUAAACUUACUGCUUGCCAAAUCAGUUCAGUAAAAAGCAGCAUUUAUUGUCAACAGACAAGUUACAUCAGUGAAUUUUUUCUUUAUCAUACUUCCUUCCAAAGAUGCCAAAGUUAUUCACAGGGUGGGAAAAUCUGUAUUCUUCUGCACCUCAUCAUACACCAAGCAACUGAUCAAACCCAUUAUGUGAUAUGAUUAUAUACACUGCCCUCCACCCGUCUGAAGACUGCAGAUUUCCAGAUUGCACAUCAGUAUUUCUAAAAUGUAUUGCCUAAGUAACACUUUCCUUUCUAAAUAACUGGACUUAAAGGUAUUGCUUUGUUCUCCAAUAAAAACGUGUCAUCAGAUACAGACCUUAGGAGAAUACAACUGUCAUAUAUAGGUUUAAGUGUAUUUAACAACAGAUAGAUAAGCUGAUUUUUGCUUUGAACAGCUUAAGGGAAGCAGUACAUGAAAUCCAGCAUUUCAGAUCUCCAUUAGAAUAUGCUGAAAGGCCUCCAAACACAAUUAACUUGCCUGGCUUAUGCCCCUCAAAAUACUUGCAAUCUAAGUAGAUCAUGUGUAAAAUCUGCAACUCCUAGCAACAAAAUUCUGUAUUAUACAACCAAUAUAAGAAUUAAUUUUUUUUAUUCUUACAUGAAACAGUAAAAUUGUCUUGCUAAUUUGAAAUGUAAGAGUAUUUGUCUUGAAUACUUUGGAUGUUAUUCAAUUUAAAACCUGGUUUUAACGGUUUCUACAGUAGUGCAUAUUAGCCAUUUCUAUGUGGUAGCAUGUUAGAAAUCUGCGAGAUACAUUAACAUCAUUCUA